rnacentral:rRNA from 1 species
GAUGAACGCUGGCGGCGUGCCCAAUACAUGCAAGUCGAACGAAACUUCUUUAUCACCGAGUGCUUGCACUCACCGGUAAAGAGUUGAGUGGCGAACGGGUGAGUAACACGUGGGCAACCUGCCCAAAAGAGGGGGAUAACACUUGGAAACAGGUGCUAAUACCGCAUAACCAUAGUUACCGCAUGGUAACUAUGUAAAAGGUGGCUAUACUACCGCUUUUGGAUGGGCCCGCGGCGCAUUAGCUAGUUGGUAGGGUAAAGGCUUACCAAGGCAAUGAUGCGUAGACGAAUUGAUAGGUUGAUCUGCCACAAUGGGAAUGAGACGCGGCCCUAAAUCCUACGGGAGGCAGCAGUAGGGAAUCUUCCACAAUGGGCGAAAGCCUGAUGGAGCAACGCCGCGUGGGUGAAGAAGGUCUUCGGAUCGUAAAACCCUGUUGUUAGAGAAGAAAGUGCGUGAGAGUAACUGUUCACGUUUCGACGGUAUCUAACCAGAAAGCCACGGGUAACUACGUG